GAGGCGUCUUUUCAGGCUCCCAAUCUAAUGGCUGCCGAGGGUCCUUACGGAGUCUUAGUCAAGAAGGGAGGAUUCCUGAGACAGUUCGGAAGGAUCACGUGACCCUUGUGUGACCAGGAAGUAUAACAACCACGGCCUCAAAGGGUCCCCGGGGUCAGAUGGGAGUGAGAACGUGAGCGCCUGUGGUGCCUUAGCGCAUGUGAAUGUGCAUGCGUGAGCGAGCGUGUCAUGCGUCUCGCCUGUGCGUGAACACGAUGCGUGCGUGGGCACGUCUGCGGCGAACGUGCGUGCCCGUGCGUGUCAUGCGUGCGUGGGCACGUCUGUGGCAGACGUGCGUGUCGUGCGUGUCAUGUGUGCGUGGGUGCGCCCGGUCCCCUGGGGGCGGGGAGUUCUCCCUCGGGGCUGCUGUCCCUGAGGGGGUGUAGUUGACGGCUUCCACUCCUGCUCCGGCUGGGGAAGCCUCACCUGGCGGGUAGUGGGGUCUCAGGACCCGUCUCGGGUCAGCAAUGGCCGUGUUAAGCUCUCGGAGUCGGUUUCCUUGGUGGCUGACGAGAGCGGCGGACACUGUGGUGAAAGGACAGAACGGGCAGCUCGGAGGAGAGGCGACCCUCGUCCCUCCAUCCCCACGGGCACGUACAGGCCCCCCAGGGGAUUGCUGGCUGGGGGUGCCGUUGACUUCUGACAGGACGAGGUCGCCGGGCAGCGUGACAGCCGAACAUCUGAGGGGAACCAGGGGAGGCUGGGGUCCGACGGGCCGCGCUUCUCCCAUCCUUCCGCGCCCAGGGGCGGGUCUGAACCGCCACACGCUCCAAGGGAAGCCCCCACAGAAGCCCUGCCAAAGGCAGCGCCCCCCCCCCGCCCCGCCCCAAGACCUGUGGGCCAGGAACCCCGGCGGCAGGUGCGCCCUCGCCGCCGGGGGCCGAUCUAGAGGCUGGAGAGACCGGUCAGCUCUGCGGAGAAGCAUCUUCCGGCUGCUUGCACAGGGUUCAGUUGACGAAGCAGGAGCGGAAGGGAAGCCCGGCGGGGACCGGGCGAGCUCUCCUCUAGCCGGGGCUUCUUCCUGCUCGUGCGCCCCGCCAGGCAAGAGCAGGGUUAAGUGUGUGCGAGGGGAGGGGGGCGGGGGGGGGGCGGAGAGGGAAUCCCAGACCGCCGGAACUGGAGACUUCCCAGCCGAGGGCGAAGCGGCCGCGAGAGGCAGCGCCGGCCACCCCGUGGCUUCCGCUGGCACCUGGGCGCGCGGAGUCGGGAGGACACGUCGACAGCCGCCCGCAGGACACGCGGCAGACGCGCCACAGCCACCGCCAGGGCUGACAACAAGCUCUGAGCCGGGAACCUGGGACCUGUGCCGUGACAGGGUCGGCUGGCGGCCCAGAGAGAAGAGCCGUGUGGAGCCGGAGAGGCGGGUGGACCGCACAGCCCUCGAGCGGAGAUACCGGCCUGUGUCCAGGGAUCACAAGUACCCUUUUACUCUGAGAGGGACCCAAUUUGGACUGCACAUUCUCUGGUCUGCAUCGAGGCCAGGAGGGACUGCUCCCUGCCAUCCCCCGCUGAGGGACCCUCUUUCCAGAAACCUUUCCUCCUGGAGCCGACAAAGCAGACGGCAUCCACGUGCUGUCAGGUAGCCCAAGAUCCCUGGCAAUCCUGGGGUCCUUAGAAAACAGUUGGAAUUUUUCUGGCAGUUAUUGUUUUUUAGGAUAGCUGUUUUCACGUGUUUACGUUGGACCUUUUUAAACGUCAACAAAGGUAGUGAUAAAGGCACCCUGAGCAGCCCAUUGGCCACUGCAGUGGUUACUGACACCUGGUUGCCUGCCCUCCGAGUUAUCCUUGUUGAGUUUCUGAAG
rnacentral:lncRNA from 1 species